rnacentral:rRNA from 1 species
UAGGGAAUAUUGGGCAAUGGAUGCAAGUCUGACCCAGCCAUGCCGCGUGCCGGAUGAAGGCCCUCAGGGUUGUAAACGGCUUUUAUUCGGGAAGAAGAGCAGGGAUGCGUCCUUGUGUGACGGUACCGAAUGAAUAAGCACCGGCUAACUCCGUGCCAGCAGCCGCGGUAAUACGGAGGGUGCGAGCGUUGUCCGGAUUUAUUGGGUUUAAAGGGUGCGUAGGUGGCUGUUUAAGUCAGUGGUGAAAUACGGUUGCUCAACAAUCGAGGUGCCAUUGAUACUGAAUAGCUUGAAAUAAUUGGAGGCUGCCGGAAUGGAUGGUGUAGCGGUGAAAUGCAUAGAUAUCAUCCAGAACACCGAUUGCGAAGGCAGGUGGCUACGAUUGGUUUGACACUGAGGCACGAAAGCAUGGGGAGCAAACA